CACGUAGGGCGCAAGCGUGUCCGGAAUUAUUGGGCGUAAAGAGCUCGUAGGCGGACUGUCACGUCCGCUGUGAAAAGCUAGGGCUUAACCCUGGCCUUGCAGUGGAUACGGGCAGACUAGAGGUAGGUAGGGGAGAAUGGAAUUCCCGGUGUAGCGGUGAAAUGCGCAGAUAUCAAGUGGAACACCAGUGGCGAAGGCGAGUCUCUGGACAUUUCCUGACGCUGAGGCACGAAAGCCAGGGGAGCAAACGGG
rnacentral:rRNA from 1 species